GAUUUUGUAAAUCUACACGUCAAAGCGUGCAUUUUACAGUUCGUGUAACGUUAUAGGAUUUUCCGGUUGCUUCCAUUUACGGUUUGGGAACGUUUGUAUCCGUACAGCUAUAGAAUUUUCCGACACGUUCUAUUCAGGCCAUUUGGUGCCGAGUUCGAAUAGGCGGUAAGCGCGAGCCCAGGCACUGUCAGGCCCACUCACAUGACUGUCAGAGAGUAAUAGGCCGCGAUUCGAGCUAAGCUGGUCAAACCGUACACCCCUAAAACAACAUUAAUAGCGACUCUGCAUGGCUGACCGCGUCGCCCGAAUUGUAUUACCAAAGUAUUCGGGUUUGUACGAGAAAUGGGCAGCGGUGAAGUUUUGUGAGAUUUGGCCGUCCAUCAUGGCGGACAGGAAAUAACAGAACAAGCUUAAGCUACGAGCAGGAACAUUCCACAGGAGCCGGUUCAUGUUGCUGUGGCAGCAACGGGGCAGAGCUAACAGGCUAUUCUGGAUCUCUGACGGCCGCGUUCCUUUUAAAAACGAGCCAAACUGAGAGAUGGAACAGAAGCAGCCAGUGCUGUGAGUCAGGGGACGAAGAGAAAGAUCAGCCCAAGCCCAUCCUCCUCUGACAAGACACAACACCCAUCUUUAACAUAACCUCAUCAAACCUCUAACAAGCUAACAAGGGUCAACAAAGCUGUCCGACAUCCAAAGUCUGAUUGAUUUUAUUCCGUUUGAGUGUAAAGUCCCAAAGGAGCCUGUAAUUAGCAUGCAAAGAACAAGAAAAGGAAGAGGAUGUUGUAAUUCCCACUUAAGCAACUAUAUUUUCCGCUAACAAAAAUUUGCCUUUCACUGGAGAUCUGGAAAACACCCCACGCCCAUGAGGGACAUCUAGUCAACACGUCUAUCGGUCAAAACAUGUUAUACAGUAGCUAAAUGGCUUGACUAACCAUUUUCAGCUACUAGGA